UUCCCAUGAAGCGAAACAGGUCUCAGUUUUCAUUCUUUCUUAGCAGAACUGCGGGCUGAGCUUCACCAAGUCUUGUUGACUGGAAAACCACAGAAGCAUGUGUGAUGAUUAUGGACAGGAAAUCCUGAUCCCAAGCAAAUGACAAGUCCUAGCAGAAAGGAAGGAAUUCACAAAGACAGCCAUGGAUAAAUGAGCUUUUUCCAGAAGUGGAGUGUAGCUGCAGCUCCAACAACCCGAUCUUCUGGGAGUUGCUCUAAAUACCUCAUAGCCUCCAGGAAGUGGAAGCAGACGGAGCCCAGGUGUACAACAGCUGACUGGCACAGACACAAGCUCCUUUUGUUGAAGAACCUAUUUUUGUCUGUCCUACAGUCAUCAUCACUGUAUAAACUACACUGUCUUCAACUUUUAGCAAGAAGCUAAUAAAUGCGUUCAGUGAAAGCCCGAGGUCACUAAGUAAAAAAAAGUAAAAAUUUUCAUCAAAGUAGUUUUCCAUUAAUCAAAUGGGCUGUAAUUUAUGGCCAAAGUCAAAAACUGACAGCCCCAACAAGCCAAAUGAAGGUAAAUGAAGUUUCUGGCAGAGUGCUGCUGAAAUAAUUUACAAUUAUCUUGUAAAUGAGAUUCAAUCUUUACAUUAUUAAAAAUGUGUAUAAAUAAG
rnacentral:lncRNA from 1 species